rnacentral:other from 1 species
UAGACUUCGCCUUGUUCGUGGCUCCGGCACAUACGGUCGAACCAACACUUCGUUCGAGGGAGUCCUACAUCAGCCCGGCGAAGCGGUAUCCCCCUUGCGGGGAAGCGCGGAUCCGGGGUGCGGACACCCACCUGCUAGGGCAGGUUCACCCGACCGGGGGCACGACAAGGCGGGGUUCAC